CAAGUUUCCCCGUAGAUGCAGGCAGUUCCAUUUCCUGGAGUCCUAUAGAAGGGGGGAGCUAGCUAGCUGCUCAUCAGCAUUCACCUGUCUCUGCUUCCACACUGGAUCUACAAUCUGGUCACCAUGACCACCAGGUUCCUCCAGCAUGAUAGACAGUGUGAUAGACCUGCCUGAAACUGUUAUUCAGAAGAAACCCUUCACCUUGCUUUUUCGGUAACUUUGUUGCAGCAACAAGAAAACUUACCAAUAUAGUAGCUCUUGGUGUUAGCAGGAGCCUAACUGCUUAAAAGACUGAGGGGUUUGCCCAAAUAAAGAACUUAUCCCAAGGGCCUGAGCAGCCAGGAGGGUGAUUCUAAGUAAACAGGUCUCUUAGCUCUGGGACUUUGUCAUCUCACCGAACGAGAACAUGGAAUGAGUCACUUUGUGGUAUCUUUCCACUCCUCUCUUGGCACCCCUGUCACAUCCAUGUGGUUCAUUCAAGCAGCUUGUGAAAGCACCAUUCUAGAACCAUAGUUGAAUGAACCACAUUCUUGGCGCUGUUUGUUUGGCUGGCCCACUUUCCCUUACACUACCACUUACAGCCAUAUCUCUACAUGGCCACCCACUACUGGCCUCCCCUCACUCUCCUAUACCUACUGCCGAAGAGCAAGAUGGGAUCAGAGUCCCUUCUCAGGGAACAGAGCUUGACGGCUGGACCACUAACGUGUGAAUUUGUGAGCCAGUUACAGAUCAGGUCUUCAGAUAGAAAAGAGAGUCGCCACAAGGAUCAAGCAACGUCCUCUACUGAGAAGAUACCGUUCUGUGGCUAACCAAGUUUCCUCAAGGCUUCGAGACUCCAUCCAUUACUGUCUUCUCUCCAGGGAGGAAGCCCGUGGCUGAGGGUGGGGAUGCUGAGAACCGGGAAGAAGUAAACAAAGAUGAGAGUGUGAGGAAAGGAGAGAAGAAUAUGCCAAGGAAGGCUGGUAGACAUUUGUUUGAUGUGUUCUCCUCAAUUGCUUACCAUUUUAUUUUUGAGGUAAGGUCUCUCAGUGAACCUGGAGCUCACUGAAUUGGCUACUCUGGAUGUCUAGAAAGCCCCCGAGGACCCUUCUGUCUCUGCCUCUCUGCAUUUGGAAUGCGCAUAUUUAUUUAUUUAUUUAUUUAUUUAUUUAUUUAUUUAUUUAUUUAUUUAUUUNNNNNNNNNNUACACAGGUUCUGGGAUAUCAAACUUGGAUCCCCAUAUUUGCAUGGCAAACCCUUUGCCAAAAUAAGCCACUUUCCCAGUAGCACUGGGUAGUUCAGUGUCAACUUGAGGCAAGCUAGAGUCAUCUCCAAAGAGGGAACCUCAGUUAAGAAAAUGCCUCCCUAAGAUCAGACUGUAGACAGGCCUGUAGGGACAUUUUCUUAAUUAGCAAUUGAUAUGGAAGGACCAAGUCAAUGUGGGUAGAACAUUCCUGGACUGACAGUAUUGGGUUCUAUAAGGAAGCAGGCUGAGCAAGCCAUGAGGAACAAGCCAAUGAGCAGCACUCCUCUAUGGCCUCUGUCUCAGAUCCUGCCUCCAGGUUCCUGCCUGUUUGAGUUACUGCUCUGAUUGCCUUCAAUGAUGAACAGUGAUAGGGAUAAGUAAGCAAAAGUAUCCCCUUCCUCCUCAAGUGUCUUAGUUAGGGUUUUACUGCUGUGAACAGACACUAUGACCAAAGCAACUCUUAUAAGGACAACAUUUAAUUGGGCUGGCUAACAGGUUCAAAGGUUCAGUCUAUUAUCAUCAAGGAGGAAUCAUCUAGGCAGGCAUGAUGCAAGCAGAGCUGAGAGUUCUACAUCUUCACCUGUAGGCUGCUAGAAAAAUACUGGCUUCCAGGAAGCUAGGAUGAAGGUAACAUCUACUCUAAUAAGGCCACAUCUACUCUAACAAGUGCCACUUCCUGGGCCGAGUAUAUACCAUCACACCAAGUAUCACACCAACAAUAACUCUAAAAUAUCAGUUCUCAUGGAUAAUUAUUUUACUGUUCAAAAACCCUCUCUCCACUGAAGCAUCCAGCACAGGUACUACAUGGGUCUGUACCAGGUCCUCUCUGUAUAGCUUUCAGGGUUUUUUAUGGGACUCCUGAAUAUAUGAAUGAAUGGGCCUCUAAUUCUUAUGCUUUCUCUUAGGGCUCUUUUUCUUUAAUUGAUUUACCUUGUCCAACUUCAGUGUGAUAGUCCUUGUUUAUCUUAUUAGGCUUUAUUUUCUUAUAUUUUGUUGUUAUCUAUUAGAAGCUUGUUCUCUUCUAAUGAGAGAUGAAAAGAGAGGAUUUGAAUGGGGGAGAAGCUGGGGAGGAACCAGGAGGAGUAGAGGGAGAGGAAACUGUAAUCAAGAUAUAGUGUAUGAGAAAAGAAUUCAUUUUUAAUAAAAGGGGACAAUUAAAAUAAAGAGAGAAAGGA
ensembl:lncRNA